GCAGUGAUCACCUAUGGUAUGUGGGAUCAAGUGCGAGUAGACCAUGGAAAGGAGUUUUACCUGACACUGUUCAUGCAGGAGAUGCUGUCACACCAUCGGUUCAAUCAGGAGAGACUGCCUUAUCUACAGACUUCAUCUACACGACCCUUCUGCAACUGAUGGACCAAGAGGAGAUCAAUAUGGAGGACAACCUUGUAAGAUACUGUGUGUCCAAUCUAACUUGUAGGCUGUGCCACACUGGUCUUACAAGCGUGGCAGAAUCAUGGAAUGCUCAUAUGAUUCCAGGAAAAGGCAUACCAAAUCACUUUGCAGAACCUGGGUGUAAACGAAGAAUUACAUCAGAACUCUUGCCACAUUCAUUUGGAGCUGCAGACCUUUACAGACAGCAUGUAGGAUCUGCACUGACAACACACUCAACGUUUGGAGUUGAUCCCUUUACAACAGUACAGGACAAACUCAGAACGGAGAAUCAUUUUUCAGAGAAAUAUCCUGACAUUUCACAUUUGUUUCAUA